GAUGAACGCUGGCGGCGUGCCUAAUACAUGCAAGUCGAGCGAACAGACGAGGAGCUUGCUCCUCUGACGUUAGCGGCGGACGGGUGAGUAACACGUGGAUAACCUACCUAUAAGACUGGGAUAACUUCGGGAAACCGGAGCUAAUACCGGAUAAUAUAUUGAACCGCAUGGUUCAAUAGUGAAAGACGGUUUUGCUGUCACUUAUAGAUGGAUCCGCGCCGCAUUAGCUAGUUGGUAAGGUAACGGCUUACCAAGGCGACGAUGCGUAGCCGACCUGAGAGGGGGAUCGGCCACACUGGAAGUGAGACACGGUCCAGACUCCUACGAGAGGCAGCAGUAGGGAAUCUUCCGCAAUGGGAGAAAGCCUGACGGAGCAACGCCGCGUGAGUGAUGAAGGUCUUCGGAUCGUAAAACUCUGUUAUUAGGGAAGAACAAAUGUGUAAGUAACUAUGCACGUCUUGACGGUACCUAAUCAGAAAGCCACGGCUAACUACGUG
rnacentral:rRNA from 1 species